rnacentral:lncRNA from 1 species
UUAUUUUUUAGAACUUCAUUACUUGCCAUUUGCUAACUGAAGAGCUGCGCUUUGUGAUGUCUCGUUUUAUUGUUUUAAUUGUGUUUUCCUUUUAUCUGUUUCUAGCUGUUUUCGCAAAGUCAGCCAACCACUUGCUUCCAAAUGACCCUUAUCCAGAAGUAUCCGUGAGUGCCUCAUCAACAGAAAAUAAGUGGAGACCUACCUCUCAGAGAAAAACGCACACAUAAGAAAAGCCGACCCACUUCAGUACUGGGAAGAACAUCCUAAUCUGUUUCCCUCUAUGGCUGCUGUUGCGAUCCCAGUGUGCCCCCUGUAGCUCUGUGGACAGUUUUGGAUUUGUUUACAUUCACCAACCGCUCACGGCAGAUGGCUGCACCUCUCUAAGCCUGGUUCUGCCGGAGGUUUCUUCCUGUUAAAAGGGAGUUUUUCUGAACACACUCUACCACCAACAAGGACAGCUCACCAGUGGGAACUGAUAGAUAAGACUGCUGAUGUGCUCUCAUCCAUUGAAGAGCUGACCAGAAACGUGAACAGAAAGACUGCACCUGAUGGGAUCCCUGCCAUAACAGAUGUGUUCUGUCCAGUGAAGGCAGUGGAGAAGCCCUACACUGAUCUUGAAACUGUGCCACGCUAGUAGAGACCGGCUACAAGGAUGGGCAGCUGUUUUCGCAAAGUCAGCCAACCACUUGCUUCCAAAUGACCCUUAUCCAGAAGUAUCCGUGAGUGCCUCAUCAACAGAAACUAAAGUGGAGACCUACCUCUCAGAGAAAAACGCACACAUAAGAAAAGCCGACCCACUUCAGUACUGGAAGAACAUCCUAAUCUGUUUCCCUCUAUGGCUGCUGUUGCGAUCCCAGUGUGCCCCCUGUAGCUCUGUGGACAGUUUUGGAUUUGUUUACAUCUCCCCAACCGGUCGCGGCAGAUGGCCGCCCUCCCUGAGCCUGGUUCUGCCGGAGGUUUCUUCCUGUCAAAGGGAGUUUUUCCUUCCCACUGUCGCCAAAGUGCUUGCUCAUAGGGGGUCAUAUGAUUGUUGGGUUUAUUAUAUACAUUAAUGCUUGUAUGCUUUUCAUUUAUACUUUGCCUUACUCUUCAGUUCAUAAUAUAAAGUUACUUGAAUGGUUUCCUUUUCGUUUUCCUUUUUUAUUUUAUAUUGCUUUGCUAUUUACCACAAUCUAAAUAUCAUGUUUAAAUGUCAUACAUUAUUGUAAAUGGUAUCUGUACAAAAUAUUGUUUGAAUAACAUGAUACAUUUAUUAGUCCCACAACGGGAAAUUUCAUAAUUUGCAUGUGGUAUUUUCCCUUUGACAUUAAAUACCUUUGAAAUAC